AUGUUCAUAUUUACGAAUAGAUAAACAAAAUCGCAGGUUUAAAACCGGCCCCAGACUAAACUUAACAUGCCAUAUUUUACUGAAAGUAAAUUGUUACUUAAUUAAUCCCCCGCCACGGAUCCAAUCCUUGGCCAAAAAUUCAACGCGUCGGAAUUUUGUAGAACGAUGCAACGAUGUGUGCGCCGUAAGCCGUCAUGGUGAUACGUCCAAAUUAUCCAUCGUCCCUCUGUAAAAAACGGAGUCAACCCCCAUAUGUUUUACCAAAUGUUGACAAAAGAUGGAUAAAUUCAAUUGAUGCAGUGAUGAAUACAUUCAAAUGGAAGAGAAGAUAUACUCCAGCCAACUCCGUUCCAUGUACAUCCCCUGGUAAAAGAAAGUCAACAGUCAAGAAAUGACUGAAGUACGUGCUCUGAAUGUCGCGCUCAUAAUGUAAAAUUUCAACCCUUUAAAGUAAUGGAUGUAGUUGAUGCAAUAACAAUUUCUUUGAUAUAUUAUAUGUUUGUAUAGUCAUGUUGUUGUUUAAAUAAAUAUAAUCAUAUUAUAUUGUGGUGUGGCAUGGACUUUGUACAACUUUGAAUACAUUAUACAUCGGAAAUGUGUACACAAAUGACAUAACUAUCUGAGUUUUUUAAAAUAGCUGAAGUUUGGUUUUCAAAAAGGAAACGUAUUAAGGGCAGUCUAUUUUAUCAGAAUCUGAAAGUGAGUUACAAAAUGGCCUGUUGUUGUUAAAAGAUUACUGUUAUAGAUAGGAAGUUUUUCACAUAAAUAUUAGUGUAAAUGAAAAAAAAAAAGAUAAUAAAUUUAAAAAAAGGCUGAAACAUUAGGCGAAAUUUAAUAGUUUUGUGUCAAGGGCUUGAGAUUGGAAUUGUGAAUAGAUUUACUUAUCUAGGAAUAGUAUUUUGUACUGGUGGGUCAUUUAGCACAACGUUUGACACUUAGUCAGGACAAGCUAUGAAGAUUUCUUACAAGCUUAAUUCAGACCUAGUAAAAUUGCCUGGUAUAGCAACAUGCCAUUCUUUAUCUUGGUUUGAUCAAUAAAUAUAUCUUGUUUUAAACUAUGGUUGAUAAGUUUUGGGUCUACAAGAUAGCAUUAAGUUAGAAAGAGUUUAUUUCAAAUUCUGUAAAGAAAUACUGGGUUAUAGAACCCAAACUCAGAACAAGUUUGUGUAUGGAGAACUUGGCAAAAUACCAUAACUAAUUAUAGGAAUUGUAAAUGUGAUUAAUUAUUCGUUAAAGAUUUUACAAUGUGAUGAUAUUAAAUAUAUAUUAAAGCUGUUUAAAGAAAAUUGUUUAGAGAUUAAGAAAGAUUGCCAAUUUGUUAGUCAUGGGCAAAGGUUAUUAUAGAUAUAUUACAAUCACUAGGAUUUUAUGAUGCAUGGUUAUUUCAAAGUGUUGGUGAUUUUAAUAUAUAUUUAUAUGUAAACUAAAACAGAGACUAAAAUGUAUAUGUGCAAAAAUGCUAUGCUGAAUUUUAUGCUGUAUUGUUCGCAGACUGUAAGUUACAGCCAUUUUUGUGUGCUGUUAACAUAGUUAAAUUUGGGAAAGCAUUGACGAGACAAUCCAGUGGCACAAUUUUACUCCUAUAUCUGAAAGGAAUAGUCAAGUUUGCCAUAAAAUAGUAGUUGAAUUUCAUUUCCUAUUUGAAUGUACUUUAUUUAGUUAUUUAAGAAGACAUAAAUACUAUUUAAAUAGACCGAAUAUAACCAAAUUUGUUGAACUUUUACAAAAACAAGUAAGAAUAUUCAAAGGAAAUUGGCAAUGUUAAUCCACAAGGCUUUUACAUUGAGAGUUCCUGUUAUAUUUAUAAUUAUGUUAAAUAACUCAUUUAAAUAAUAUCUGUAACCACUCUUACCUCAUUAUGGUUAUACUAUAUUCUAUGUGUACUGUCUAUGUUCAAUUUCUGUUUCCAAAGUACCUUGUUAGUAUAAAUAAGUAUACGUGUAUUAAUAUAUAUUUUGACCUACGAUCGAUUGAUAGAAGUGCAUUUAAUUAUUCAUAUUAUAAAUUCCAUUGAUGUAUGAUCAUGGGCCCAUGGCCUUUAUGAAUUUAAAUAAACUAUGAAACUGUA